GAAAGACUAAUCGAACCAUCUAGUAGCUGGUUCCCUCCGAAGUUUCCCUCAGGAUAGCUGGCACUCGGAGAAUUGGCGGCGCGCUCGCGCGUCGCCGUACCAGUCUCAUCUGGUAAAGCGAAUGAUUAGAGGCCUUGGGGCCGAAACGACCUCAACCUAUUCUCAAACUUUAAAUGGGUGAGAUAUUCGACUUGCUCGAAUGAUGAAGUCGAAGCGGGUCGUCUCUCCGGAGGCGGCCCGCACUAUGGUGGAUGAAAGAGUGCCAAGUGGGCCAAUUUUGGUAAGCAGAACUGGUGCUGUGGGAUGAACCAAACGUCGAGUUAAGGCGCCUAAAUCGAUGCUCAUGGGAUACCAUGAAAGGCGUUGGUUGCUUAAGACAGCAGGACGGUGGCCAUGGAAGUCGGAAUCCGCUAAGGAGUGUGUAACAACUCACCUGCCGAAGCAACUAGCCCUGAAAAUGGAUGGCGCUCAAGCAUCGUGCCUAUACUCGACCGUCAGUGGCAAAGGAGACGUGGUUACCGUGCGAACGGACCCGCUCACGAAGUCGUGACGAGUAGGAGGGUCGCGACGGUGUGCGCAGAAGCGUUGGCCGUGAGGCCGCGUGGAGCCGCCGUCGGUGCAGAUCUUGGUGGUAGUAGCAAAUACACUAGCGAGGCCCUGGUGGACUGAUGUGGAGAAGGGUUUCGUGUGAACAGCCGUUGCACACGAGUCAGUCGAUCCUAAGCCCCAGGAGAAAUCCGAUGUUGAUGUGCAGUCGCAUAAACUCUUGAUGUUUAACUACAAAAAAAAGGUUUGACCACAUCGGGCGAAAGGGAAUCCGUUUCCUAUUACGGAACCCGGCCGCGGAACCGACCAUGCGGGCCAAUGUCGGCGCACUGUG
rnacentral:rRNA from 1 species